GAUGAACGCUGGCGGCGUGCCUAAUACAUGCAAGUCGAGCGAAGCGGGGAUGGGUGAGUAACACGUGGAUAACCUCCUAUAAGACUGGGAUAACUUCGGGAAACCGGAGAUAAACCCGAUACUUAUAGCUGGUUCCGGGCUGCAUUAGUUAGUUGGUAGGGUAACGGCUUACCAAGGCAACGAUGCCUAGCCGACCUGAGAGGGUGAUCGGUCACACUGGAACUGAGACACGGUCCAGACUCCUACGGGAGGCAGCAGUGGGGAAUCUUCCGCAAUGGGCGAAAGCCUGACUGAGCAACGCCGCGUGAGUGAUGAAGGGCUUCGGAUCGUAAAACUCUGUUAUUAGGGAAGCGGUACCUAAAGAGAAAGCCACGGCUAACUACGUGCCAGCAGCCGCGGUAAUAC
rnacentral:rRNA from 1 species